AUGUUGACUGGUACUUUCUCCUAUGCAUUCCUUGAACAACACUUGCUUUCGUUGGGAUAUCCUGUGAGUGAGCACAUCAUUUACUUCAGCAAACCAAAUAAACCAAUCUCAGAUGGUUUUAUCAAAAUUAGCAGUGAUGAGGAUGUGCAGCAUAUGAUCAGAGCUAGUGCUGAGCAUAAGAUGCUUGUAGUCAUGGUUGACCAUAUAGAUUUCAUCAGUAACUUCAAGUCUGACUUGGUGUGCACAUUGCCCCUAUCUUUGAUAACAACAACAACAACAACAACAACAACAACAACAACAACAACAACAAGUUCUGCAGCAGCAAGUGCAUCCUCUUCCCAUAGCCUAGUUCCAGUCUUUGUGGAAGAUCCCUUGUCAGAGAUUGCAGCAAAUGGAACAGACCCACAAAGUUUGCUUAUUGAAUGUGCUGAGCACAACAUGCUAACUGAAGAUGGACAAACAGUUAUUGAAAAUGUAGUUGUUUCAGAUUCUGAUUUCAGUGACAGUGACUAUGACAUAGAUGAUGGUGAUGAUGAUCUUUAUGAUGACAACAUUGACUUUGAUGUUGAUGAAGAAGCUGGUCAGGAUGAGGAUGAUGUGGAGCCUGACUAUUUGCUCGAGGAUGAAGAUCUGAACCUAUCAACUGAGCAAGCAGAUGAACUUAGGUACAAGUUUAAAGCUUUUAAUGCAAAGGUGGACAUGAUUUCCCCUGUGUUUAAAGUAGGGAUGGUAUUUGCUGAUGUGGUUGAGCUAAGACAUGCACUGACUUCAUAUUCAGUUAGAAACAGAGUGCAGAUCAAGAAGAUAAAGAAUGACAAGAGGAGACUUGAGGCAGUUUGUGAAAAUGGUUGCCCAUGGUACCUGUUUGCUGGCAAUGACAAUAGGACAGGGGGAUUUGUCAUCAAGACUUACUAUGGAGAACAUAUAUGCCAGAAGAAAUGGAAGAUAAGGUCACUGUCAGCAAAAUUCAUGUGCAAGUAUUUCAUAGAUGAGUUCAGAGAUGACCAGAAGAUGUCACUAGGUACAUUUCAAGAAAGAUCACCAAGGAAUUUCAUGUCACCGCUAACAGAUGGAAGCUAG
rnacentral:rRNA from 1 species